GAUGUUCGUUUCGAAGUCAAUUUUCACAUAUUUGGUUUGAUUAUGAGUGAAGAAGCGAAAUUAUUAUUUUUCGUAAUUAUCAUGCCUUGAACAACUCUUUAUUUUAAUACACAUUUCAUUUGAAUAUCUUAAUAAGAAGCGUAUUAUUACCCCGAGGAAAAUUACUGACAGAAAGUCCAUAACCAAAUGACAAAAUUAAAAACUCAAACACAUCAAACAAAAUCAAGUCCACGGUUAUAUUUUUUACUUGACACAGUCAUUUCUUGGUGAAUUAAACCUGGUUUUAUAGCUAGCUAAACCUCUUACUUGUAUGACAGUCGCAAAUAAUUUCCUUAUAUUUACACCACCGUGUGACCAACACAAAUAGACAUAAUAGGUAAAAUGUCAUAAUAGGGGUACAACAUUCAACAUUGUGUUAAAGUGUUUAUCACUAUAAAACAAACAAAUAUGUAACACAGAAGCACAAAAGGCAUAUAGUCAAAAGACAUUAGCAAAAAUACAAGAAUACAUAAGUUACAAUACCACAAUUACUAGAUGAUGUAUAAGUACAAAGUCACAUCACCAAAAAUAUGCUUAACAGUAAAAUUAAUAUCCAAAUCGACAAAUAAAAGAAAACUAUAAUUCCUACCUUAUUAAGAUGAUAAACAACCUCCAGAAUCUAUACUUCAAAACCAUCAUGUAUUAUUUGUAAAGUUGAUACGAAAUACUUCUCAACAAGGUAUUGGUACCUUCCAAUGAUCUUUUUUUUUAGAAAAAGGACGAGACGUUCUUUAAAAUACCCCUGGUUCUUUAACUUUCUACUCAGAC
rnacentral:lncRNA from 1 species